CUCCCAGACUCCUACGGGAGGCAGCAGUGAGGAAUAUUGGUCAAUGGGCGGGAGCCUGAACCAGCCAAGUCGCGUGAGGGAUGACGGCCCUACGGGUUGUAAACCUCUUUUGUCGGGGAGCAAAUUCCGUUACGUGUAACGGAGUCGAGAGUACCCGUAGAACAAGCAUCGGCUAACUCCGUGCCAGCAGCCGCGGUAAUACGGAGGAUGCGAGCGUUAUCCGGAUUUAUUGGGUUUAAAGGGUGCGCAGGCGGCACGGCAAGCCGGCGGUCAAAUCGCGGGGCUCAACCCCGCCCAGCCGUCGGAACUGCCGGGCUAGAGUGGGCGAGAAGUGCGCGGAAUGCGUGGUGUAGCGGUGAAAUGCGUAGAUAUCACGCAGAACCCCGAUUGCGAAGGCAGCCUUCCGGCGCCCUACUGACGCUGAGGCACGAAAGUGCGGGGAUCGAACAGGAUUAGAUACCCUUGUA
rnacentral:rRNA from 1 species